rnacentral:rRNA from 1 species
AAGGUUUGGCACCUCGAUGUCGGCUCAUCGCAUCCUGGGGCUGAAGCAGGUCCCAAGGGUUGGGCUGUUCGCCCAUUAAAGCGGUACGCGAGCUGGGUUCAGAACGUCGUGAGACAGUUCGGUCCCUAUCCUCCGCAGCCGAAGGUGUAUUGAGGAAGGCUGUCCCUAGUACGAGAGGACCGGGACGGACGGAGCUCUGGUGUGUCUGUUGUCCUGCCAAGGGCAUGGCAGAUUAGCCACCUCCGGAAGGGAUAACUGCUGAAAGCAUCUAAGUAGGAAACCCGUUCCAAGAUGAGUACACCCAUGCGGCUAAAACGCAGUAAGGCCCGUGACAAGACCAUCACGUUGAUAGGCCGGAGGUGUAAGCACGGCAACGUGCGUAGCCGACCGGUACUAAUCGGCCGAGGGCUUGGAUUGA